UGUUUUUGUUUGUAUUAUAGCUACACUGUACACAUCCUGCAUUUUGUUGGGUAUAUUCCUCAACAGCAGCGUACCCAUAUUCUUUGAGCUCUUUGUGGAGACAGUCUACCCUGUUCCAGAAGGAAUUAGCUGUGGAGUUGUCACCUUUCUGAGUAAUGUGUUUAUGGGAGUGCUUUUGUUUUUCCUCACAUUUUACCAUACAGAGUUUUCCUGGUUCAACUGGUGCCUGCCAGGAUCGUGUCUGCUCAGCCUGCUCCUCAUCCUGUGCUUCCGCGAAUCCUACGACAGACUCUAUCUCGACGUUGUCGUCUCCGUGUGAUAAUGCCAGACUGGUGAGGGGUUGGAAGAGACUGGAAGUCAGCUUUGCAGUCUGCACAUCUGCCUGGAUUUGCACAGCUGGACAGCAGAAACACAAAGAAAUUACAAGACUUAAUUGUGGCUUUAUUUGGAGAGGGUGAGGGACGGGUUGUUCUUGCAUUCAAGACCACCUUGAUUUGCUGUAACUGUGGAACUUGAGUGGUGAUAAUGAUGCCAAAAUGCACAAAGAGAAUACAUCUGCUGUACAGGUCCCAGUGCCAGAGCUGGGGCUGUCUAUUUAAGGGGCUGUCGAUGUGUAGCAGUAAGGUAUACGUUGUGUGUGUGUGUGUGCUGACUCACGGUUAUGUGCACCAGGGUACCAGUAAUCUUUGGAGUCUUCUAUCAGAAUAGAAAUAAGGAAUAAUCUUAACAAAAGGAAAAGGAGAAAAGAAAUCUUUUCUUAAAGAUCUCUUCUAAAUCACUAGUCAUUUAUAUAUUGAAUGUCCAUUAAACAGUACACUACAUUUGCAUUCUAAUAAAGUGAUUUCUGAUAUAAGACACUGGUACCAGGGUUUUUAGCCAUACUAAAUAUCCCAAAUAAUCCCCACAGUGUUGUUAGAGGUGUUUGUAGUCACCUUGGAGCACAAGUAAACAAUAGCUUUAGCUGCCACUGAAUCCCAACUUGCACCCACAGUCAUCUCUGAAAUACCACCGUGGUUCCAUAUCUCCUGAAUAUGGAGCAUCUGUGGUGUACUGGAGAGUCACUCUUGCUAAAUGUUGCUGUUCUAAAAGCCACCACUGUGUCACCUUUCCAUCCCCUGUCUCCAGUACUGCCUUUUUUACUGUGAAGACCUGUUUGUGACACUGAAUACUGUGGAUGUGGAUGUCUGAGUCCCGCUAGUUCUCUUCUGACACUCUAAGGUGUGUGUGGAUUUUAGAAAUAGUUUAUGAUUGAGGGUGCCUAAACAAUAUUGCUUGUAACCCAAGUCUUAAAAAUCACUGUUUCCUAAAAAAAAAAUCUUUCUAGUGGAUGAAGUGUGCUGAUAGCGAAAUGACAAUGAGAAAUAACUCAUGAGUUCUGGCAUAAUGUGGGAAAUUAAUGCCAACUCUUUUUAUCAAUAUUAAUCUGUGGUCAUUCUGGCCCUUACUUGAACAUAAAUAUUAAAGACACUUUGAAUAGUUUUUUAAAUCAAUUUUUAAACCUGCUAAUAAUUUCCUAAUUAUAUUCUUAGAUUUCAGUUCAGCAUCAUUUACAAUAUUUCCAUGUGUGUGUGUGUGUGUGUUGCGUGCUCUACUGUUACAGGGGUUUGUUCAUGUGUGUGUGUGCGUGCAUAUUUAUAUCUAUGUAUACACAAAUAAAACUUAUAUAUAUAACAUAUAUGUAUAUAUAUAAGUUAUAUAAGGGUAUGUGUUUACAUAGGCUUAUUUUAAGUGAUCCUGUCUGGGGAUGGUGGUUUGCCUGUUUGUAACUCAGCCAGUCACUGCUGUGAAUGGAAACACGAGCAUACGCUCUCUGCGACGUGAAUCUUUUUCAGGGGGUGAAUGAUUUCCUGUCGUGGCAGUUUUAUCGCAGGGGGUGGGUGCACGUGUUGGAGGAGGCUGGUGUGCAGGAUUCUGUGUCUGCAGAAGUCUGAAUCAAGCACCCUCUGCUCCUGUGUGGGGCUGUUCUCUGCGGCCCUGGGGUGACACCACCACUGUAAGCUCACUCAAAUAAACCCUGAACUGAGCGCUACCUUUCAGACACGGACCUGUUCGUUCUGCCUGCUCUCCUUUUGCAGAGAGAAUACACCACUAAGACCUUUAACUCAGGAGUGUAUCUGUGCAGUAAAAUAAAAUGAGCUGUUCCCUG